ensembl:lncRNA
UUCAGAUGCUGAGAGAUCAAGUGGUGGACGUCCAGAGAGGAGAGGUGAGUUAGAAACAUGCACAGUGUCACGUAGGUGAUGAGUGUUUUGUGUGUCUCUUUAUUGCGGUGACUUGUUUUGAUCACUUGUAUGUUUGAUUGAUUGCUUUGUGACACAUUGAAGACAUUGGACUUUGAUCAUUUACUCAUAUGUGUCUUUUAUUUGUUUCAGGAGGUUCACAGAGAUUAGUUGCAACAAGAAAACGCUAUGCAUGGUGUCAGAGAUUUGCCGUAGAAGCAGAGCUUCUUCUUCUUCUUCUUCUUCUUCUUCUUCUUCUUCUUCUUCUUCUUCUUCUUCUUCUUCUUCUUCUUCUUCUUCUUCUUCUUCUUCUUCUUCUUCUUCUUCUUCUUCUUCUUCUUCUUCUUCUUCUUCUUCUUCUUCUUCU